rnacentral:rRNA from 1 species
AAUGGGGGAUAACGUAGCGAAAGUUACGCUAAUACCGCAUAUGCCCUGAGGGGGAAAGGUGGGGAUCGCAAGACCUAUCGUUUUCGGAGUGGCCGAUAUCAGAUUAGCUAGUUGGUGGGGUAAAGGCCCACCAAGGCGACGAUCUGUAGCGGGUCUGAGAGGAUGAUCCGCCACACUGGGACUGAGACACGGCCCAGACUCCUACGGGAGGCAGCAGUGGGGAAUUUUGGACAAUGGGGGCAACCCUGAUCCAGCCAUGCCGCGUGAGUGAAGAAGGCCUUCGGGUUGUAAAGCUCUUUCAGCCGGAAAGAAAUCGCGCAGGCUAAUAUCCUGUGUGGAUGACGGUACCGGAAGAAGAAGCACCGGCUAACUACGUGCCAGCAGCCGCGGUAAUACGUAGGGUGCGAGCGUUAAUCGGAAUUACUGGGCGUAAAGCGUGCGCAGGCGGUUUUGUAAGACAGGCGUGAAAUCCCCGGGCUUAACCUGGGAACUGCGUUUGUGACUGCAAGGCCAGAGUGUGGCAGAGGGGGGUAGAAUUCCG